rnacentral:rRNA from 1 species
GACGAACGCUGGCGGCGUGCUUAACACAUGCAAGUCGAACGGCAAGGCCCUGCCUUUGUGGGGUGCUCGAGUGGCGAACGGGUGAGUAACACGUGAGUAACCUGCCCUUGACUUUGGGAUAACUUCAGGAAACUGGGGCUAAUACCGGAUAGGAGCUCCUGCUGCAUGGUGGGGGUUGGAAAGUUUCGGCGGUUGGGGAUGGACUCGCGGGUUAUCAGCUUGUUUGUGGGGUAGUGGCUUAACAAGGCCUUGACGGGUAGCCGGCCUGAGAGGGUGACCGGCCACAUUGGGACUGAGAUACGGCCCAGACUCCUACGGGAGGCAGCAGUGGGGAAUAUUGCACAAUGGGCGGAAGCCUGAUGCAGCAACGCCGCGUUCGUGAUGACGGCCUUCGGGUUGUAAACCGCUUUCGCCUGUGACGAAGCGUGAGUGACGGUAAUGGGUAAAUAAGCACCGGCUAACUACGUG